GGAUAUUGUAAUUAAAGCUAGUGGUGAAUGCCUAGGUAAUUUGAGCCGAGGAAGGACGUGUGUAUGGACACGAUAUCGUCGAUAAGUCUCCUAACAGACAUUACAAUCGGCGGUUUCCCAAUGGGAUAACCCCACUGAUAGUAAUAUCAGUGACCCCCGAUUUUAUCGGGGGAGGAUACCUGGUGAACUGAAACAUCUCAGUAACCGGAGGAAAAGAAAUCAAAAUGUCUCAAUUAGACGCAAGUUUAGUUGAGCGAGAUUCCGUCAGUAGCGGCGAGCGAAAGCGGAGGAGCCUAAACCCCGAUUUAAUCGGGGGGUUGCGGGAGUCUGCAUACCUACACUUUUUUUCUAGAUGAAUGUCAUGGAAAGGACAACCAAAGAAAGUGAUAGUCUUGUAGUUAAAAGAAGAAAAGUGUAAGCGGAAUUUCCCAAGUACCACGGGACACGGAAAACCUUGUGGGAAGCUAGGGCGGUCAUGCUCUAAGGCUAAAUACUCAAAUUAACCGAUAGUGAACCAGUACCGUGAGGGAAUGGUGAAAAGUCCCCCGGCGAGGGGAGUGAAAUAGAACCUGAAACCGCUAGCUAACAAGCAGUGAGAGCCCCGAUUUAAUCGGGGUAAUCGCGUGCCUAUUGAAGAAUGAGCCAGCGAGUUUUCAAGAGCUGCUUAAGGUUAACCAAUAAAAAGUUGGGUAGCCAUAGCGAAAGCAAUCCCACCGAAAGGCGGGAACGUCUGAAUAGGGCGUUGGUAGCUUUUGAAAGACCCGAAACUGGGUGAUCUAACCAUGGGCAGGGUGAAUCCCGCCGAAAGGCGGGAGGAAGCCCGAACCCGUUAUCGGUGAAAUGAUAUGGGAUGACCUGUGGUUAGGGGUAAUAUGCUAAUCGAACCCAGAGAUAGCUGGUUCUCCCCGAGAUAUAUUUAGGUAUAGCCUUCCUGCUCAUAAAACACCUGGGGUAAAGCACUGAAUAGUCCAGAGAGUCUAGUACAAUUUGGAUUAAUCAAACUCUGAAUACAGUCGUGUUUUGGCGGGAGGAGUCAGACUCACUAGGAUAAGCUAGCGUGGUCGAAAGGGAAACAGCCCAGACUCCCAUCUAAGGUCUCUAAAUGGUUAUUAAGUGGGAAAGGUAGUGAGAUUUCAAAGACAGCCGGGAGGUUGGCUUAGAAGCAGCCAUCCUUUAAAGAAAGCGUAACAGCUCACCGUAAUAGCCCCGAUUUAAUCGGGGAUGAGGUCUUGCGCCGAAAAUGAUCGAGGCUUAAAUAAUCUACCGAAGAUGGAGAUGCUUGUGCUUUGCACAAGUGUGGUAGGGGAGCGUCCCGUGUACGAUGAAGAUCUACCGUAAGGUGGGUUGGAGUUAACGGGAGUGAGAAUGCUGGCAUAAGUAGCGAUUCUCCCGCUGAAAAUGCGGGAUGCCGUAUGUCCAAGGUUUCCUCAGCAACGUACAUCGGCUGAGGGUUAGUCGGAUCUAAGGGCUCUGCCGAUAGGCGAGUCUCGAUGUCCAAGCUGUUAAUAUUCAGCUACUCUUUAUAAAGCGUUACUACUUUUAUACUAACGAAAUCUGAUAAUCGAAGCCUUCUAUAUGAGGGUCUAAAUGGUAAGCACCACCAAUUGGUGGGACCGAGCCAUGAAUGCGACCCCGAUUUUAUUGGGGGAGCUCGAUGCGUUAAGUUUCCGGGAAAAGGUAUAAAAGGAGUUUUAUAAGGAUCCGUACCGCAAACCAACACAGGUGGACUGGUAGAGUAUACUAAGGCAAUCGAGUAAUGGUGGUUCAAGGAACUCGGCAAAUCAGCUGGACGUAACUUUGGAGAUGUCCUUCCCGCCUUUGGCGGGACACAGCAAAUGAUUUCCAUCUAACUGUUUACCAAAAACACAGCUCCCUGCAAACCGGAAACGGGAAGUAUAGGGGGUGAGGCCUGUCCAGUGCCGGUAAGUUAAGGAUCGGGGUUAAUCCCGAUAUCACGAAAGUAAUAUCGGGAAAGGCUCUGAUUCAAGCUCCGGUGAACGACAGCUCUAACUCUGAGAGUUCUAAGGUAGCGUAGUCCCUUGUCGGGUAAGUUCCGACCUGCAUGAAUGGCGUAAUAAGAUGGAAACUGUCUUGAACCAUUGCUCGGCGAAAUUGAAAUGGCUGUGAAGAUGCGGCCUUCCUGCACCAGGACAAGAAGACCCCGGGAGCUUUACUGAAGCUUAUUAUUGACAAGAAAUUAUUAACUGUCUAGCGUAGGAGGGAGUUUUGGCAGCAAUGCCGGACACCAAUGAAACACCUCUCUUUGAUAAUUUUGAGUCUUACCCCGAUUUAAUCGGGGGACAGUAGUAGGUGGUCAGUUUAACUGGGGCGGUUUCCUCCAAAAGGGUAACGGAGGAGCGCAAAGGUUGGCUUUUUCCGGAUGGAAAUCGGAAUGUACGUGUAAACGCAUAAGCCAGCUUAACUGUGAGGAAUACAAUCCGAGCAGAUCCGAAAGGAGGCGUUAGUGAUCCCCCGAUCGGUUAUGAUUACCGGUGGGGCUUAUCGGAUAAAAGCUACCCCGGGGAUAACAGGCUGGUCUCCCCUAAGAGUUCACAUCGACGGGGAGGUUCGGCACCUUAUGAGCCAAAUAAUUGGGGUGCCUUCAGUAGCAAUACUGAUAAAAAAAUGUGACUUAUAACGGUGGACUCCAUAAAUGCCCGAUGAUAGAAUAUCAUCGUUAUUAUGGACAAUACCGUGGGAAGUCUAACUCGAGCUCAAAAAUCUGUUAUCAUAGGGUCUAUUCUUGGAGAUGGCUAAUUUUAGAAUUCGUUUUCUAAAAUCUAGCUUACCAAGAUUACAUGAUCUUAUUGGUAAAAAUCUUAUACCUUCAAUGAAGUAUAAACUUGAGUUAUGACCCCGUAGAGACUUCUCCGAUUUAAUCGGGGAGAGUUCAAUAAAAAAUUGAGCUAAUACGUCACCCCCAGAUUUCAGAUAUCUGGGUGAAGAUAUAGUCCGCGCCAUUAGUAAUAAUGGAUUAUCAUGCGAUGUCGGCUCAUCGCAUCCUGGGGCCGUAGCAGGUCCCAAGGGUUGGUCUGUUCGCCCAUUAAAGCGGUACGCGAGCUGGGUUCAGAACGUCGUGAGACAGUUCGGACUCUAUCCGGUGCAGGCGUUUGGAUUCUUGAAAAGGCUCUUCUCUAGUACGAGAGGACCGAGAAGAGGGAAUCCCUGGUGUAUCAGUUGUCCUAUAAGGGCAUUGCUGAGUAGCUAUAUUCCUAUGAGAUAAGUACUGAAAGCAUCUCAAGUACGAAGCUUACUUUAAGAUGAGGAAUCCACCCCCGAUUUAAUCGGGGAUAAAUCCCCCGGUAGAUGACCGGGUUGAUAGGCGCAUGGUGUAAGUCCAGUAAUGGAUUUAGCCUAUGCGUACUAAUGGAUGAUUCAAUAUCCCG
rfam:Candidatus Roizmanbacteria bacterium RIFCSPHIGHO2_02_FTLL_37_24 rifcsphigho2_02_scaffold_2017, whole genome shotgun sequence.